GCCCGAAUGGUGGAAUAGGUAGACACAAGGGACUUAAAAUCCCUCGGCCUUAGGCUGUGCCGGUUCGAGUCCGGCUUCGGGCACCA
rnacentral:tRNA from 1 species